CCACGAGCUGCUUAGGAGUCGGGAUGGUUGCAGAUGUUGGCCGCAUUCUGUUCAGCAAGAACUGAGCACCCACAAAUGGACACAAGGCCAGGUCAGUGGGAGACCCCAGCAACAUGGUGACCAAAAGGAUCUGGGGAAGGGUCGCAGCCCGCAAUUCACGCACUCCUCUGACACGUGAGCCGGCCAGGCCGCAGGGGCUGGGGGGUCCUGUCCGCAAAGGUGGCCGGACAGGCCUUGGGAUCCCUCAGUCCAUGCUCGGGGCGCCCCCACCGCCCGGCGCAAGGCGAGCUACCCACCACGAGCCUUCAACCCCAGCGGAGCAGAGACCGUUUUCCUUGAAUCAGCAUGCAGCACCACGCAGCGUUCCCCACAGGGGCACAUAUUGAGAAAAUGAAAUUCAAAUCACCCCUCUGGUCUGUUACAUUUCCCAGAAUGGUUCCCAGCGCUGGAGAUAAUUCCUUUUCGGAGAACCUACAUUUCUCACCUGCUGAUUGCAAUUAGCCGCUGCCAGCUGGGGCCUGGUGUGCAGCUGAAAAGCUAACAAGAAGUGGAGACCACGCGGAACCCAGACGGGGCAGAGGAUGUGAAUAAAUAAGGAAGAGUGCUCGUGUGUAUGAGCCACUCCCGUGAAUCCGAGGCUUCCCGACCCUCUGGACGGCCCUCCCUCUUCGGGCUCUGUGCUCCCCACCCCCCCCCACUAUUUUUUGUUUGUUUGUUUGUUGUUUCUGGCUUUGUAGCCUACACUUAACAUCACAGUCACGACUUUGCCACUAAGUGCAUUUUGUUAGGCAAUAAACA